GCAGAACCGGUGAAGAUUUGGGGACGGGACGAGGCGGCCGCGACCCUGCCGGAGUCCGGGGGGGACCUCCAGAAACCCGGGGGGUCCCUGACUCUCGUGUGCCGCGCAUCCGGCUUCGAUUUCGGGAAUUACGGAAUGUUCUGGAUCCGCCAGAGCCCCGGGAAGGGGCUGGAAUUCGUCGCACAGAUCAGCAGCGGUGGCAGCACCGGAUACGCGCCGUCGGUCAAGGGCCGGUUCACGAUCUCCAGGGACAACGGGCAGAGCUCGGUGACGCUGACCAUGACCAACCUCAAGGACGACGAUUCCGGCUCCUAUUUCUGUGCCAAGGCUGCUGGUGCUGGUGGUGGUUACGGGAGUGUUGGUGCUUAUGCUGCUGAUUGA